rnacentral:rRNA from 1 species
UACGGGGGGGCAAGCGUUGUUCGGAAUUACUGGGCGUAAAGGCGCGUAGGUGGCCCGGUCAGUUCGUGGUGAAAGCGCGGGGCUCAACCCUGCGUCGGCCAUGAAUACUGCCGCGGCUGGAGCACUGUAGAGGCAGGCGGAAUUCCGGGUGUAGCGGUGGAAUGCGUAGAGAUCCGGAGGAACACCGGUGGCGAAGGCGGCCUGCUGGGCAGUUGCUGACACUGAGGCGCGACAGCGUGGGGAGCAAACAGG